GAUGAACGCUAGCGGGAGGCCUAACACACGCAAGCCGAGCGGUAUUUGUUCUUCGGAACAGAGAGAGCGGCGCACGGGUGCGGAACACGUGUGCAACCUGCCUUUAUCUGGGGGAUAGCCUUUCGAAAGGAAGAUUAAUACCCCAUAAUAUAUUGAGUGGCAUCAUUUGAUAUUGAAAACUCCGGUGGAUAGAGAUGGGCACGCGCAAGAUUAGAUAGUUGGUGAGGUAACGGCUCACCAAGUCAAUGAUCUUUAGGGGGCCUGAGAGGGUGAUCCCCCACACUGGUACUGAGACACGGACCAGACUCCUACGGGAGGCAGCAGUGAGGAAUAUUGGACAAUGGGUUAGCGCCUGAUCCAGCCAUCCCGCGUGAAGGACGACGGCCCUAUGGGUUGUAAACUUCUUUUGUAUAGGGAUAAACCUACUCUCGUGAGAGUAGCUGAAGGUACUAUACGAAUAAGCACCGGCUAACUCCGUG
rnacentral:rRNA from 1 species